CUUUCUACGACCCGAUAAACUAGUUUAUUAACUGAUGUAGUCGCGAAAAAUAUUGAAAUAUGACAUGGAAUUCCGCUUCCGAUGCCCUUAAACGAUGAAGAAUGAAACACAGACUAAAAUCGGACAACAACAAAAGGUGCCGAAAAGAACCAGUCUAUGCACAACUGGUUCCGAAGACCAGCGCACAGAUUGCAAACAAGCGGCAUGUGCAAUAGAGAUUGGCGCGUGAUUCCAGUUGCCAUGUACUGAUUUCGUGCGUCGAGAAGAGAUUUAUUUUGGGCUUAUCCAAACAUAAGUUAUUCAUUAUGAUUUAGUUAUGGUUUCAUUAAAGUGUGUUUUUUAAACCUU